rnacentral:misc_RNA from 1 species
AUAAAAUGUCUGAACAAUGAUAAACAACAUUGAAUAGACAAUAAUGUUUGUAUAUCAUCAGUGGACUAAUGUCCAGUAAAAAAAAUAAAAGAAAAUGCCGCACAUCCUGAUACUUUGCGAGUUGAUCGAUCUUGCCUAUAUAUGUGUCCAUAUAUCUUAAUUAGAAAUUUUAAUUAAUUACAAUUUAAUUUAUCAUUCUCGUCAAAAUUGACAGUGAGAAUAACAGAUAUUAAAAAAUAUUAGAGUCGCGGCCUAAGUCCGAUGGUGCCUUUCUGAAACUAAGAAAGCAAGUCAAAGAAAGUAUUUUGCAAAGAUCAUUAAUUCAAUCAGCCAUUGCAGUCAUCGCUUAUAUCUGGCACAGUUCAGAUUAGGUUUGAAACCGGCUUGUCAAAUUCGACACCAAAAUGGAUAAAAUGGUUCUCUAAUCCAAAUAGGACUGAGAUUGUGAAGCCGCCUUGGAGAGAGUCCCUUUUGAAAGUUGGACCAGAUAAACCAGAUCGACAAUUUAGUCCUAUGAUGUAAUCCAAUUUAACCUAUAAAUUUGUAAUUUCCUUAAAAAAAAUUCAAAAGAUUAUUUCUUCAGUUAGAUUGCCUCAAUCCGAUCAAAUUGAAAUUAAAAUUAUACCAAAUCAAAACCGUGAGUCCAAUUCAAGUUCGUUGGGCUACAAACUAAAACCGUUGAUUCUAACCUGGAACUCCCUGUGCCUAAAUCUAGUCAACACGAAUGUAGAGAAAUAAAUUAACACAGACAAAAGUGCAAUAGCAAGACCUGGGAAGGCAGAGAGCAAUUUUUUGCACAAUAGCAAUUCGCUUUUGUGUUGAAGUAAUAAGGUACUCCUGUGCGCUCCACUAAAACCUUCUCAAUCCCAGUAUCCUGGCAAAAACUGCUCAACAAUACAAUAUGCGCAGUUAGUUAUUUUUUACAAUCGCCAUAAUGCUUGCUCAAAUAUUUGAAUUCAAAUAAAAAAACAAUUAACCAUCUUUGCUUCAUUCUCUACUCCAUUAUGCCAGGACCUGAG